UACGAAGGGGGCUAGCGUUGUUCGGAUUUACUGGGCGUAAAGCGCACGUAGGCGGAUCGAUCAGUCAGGGGUGAAAUCCCAGAGCUCAACUCUGGAACUGCCUUUGAUACAGCACAUCUGGAGUCCGGAAGAGGUGGGUGGAAUUCCUAGUGUAGAGGUGAAAUUCGUAGAUAUUAGGAAGAACACCGGUGGCGAAGGCGGCCCACUGGUCCGGUACUGACGCUGAGGUGCGAAAGCGUGGGGAGCAAACAGG
rnacentral:rRNA from 1 species